UACACAGGGUGGCUGCUACAGGCUUUCCUGUUGCCUUCAGAACCUGGACGGCCCAUUCAGCCUCCUCCACGUGCUCGAAGUACUGCAGAUCAAUCCAUCACUCAAUCACUCAAUCAAUCAUUGAGAUCUCACGUGAGGGUUGUGUCUGCACGUUCUCACCUCGGCGAUCAGGAAGUCCACGUUCUUCUUGAUGAAGACGUCGAUCUGCUUCUUGAAGAUCUUCUUGACCUCGUCUUCGCUCUUGCAGCUGAGGUAGGAAGGUGUCUGAGAGACUCCGCCCGCCACCAGAGCAUCGCCCUCAUUG